rnacentral:rRNA from 1 species
AGAGUUUGAUCCUGGCUCAGGACGAACGCUGGCGGCGUGCCUAACACAUGCAAGUCGAGCGGGGACAUGCGACGGAUCGGAAGUUUUCGGAUGGAAGAGAAGAUGUAUGUUCUAGCGGCGGACGGGUGAGUAACGCGUGAGCAACCUGUCCUUCACAGGGGGAUAACACAGCGAAAGUUGUACUAAUACCGCAUAAGACCACAACGGGACAUCCCGAAGGGGUCAAAGGAGCAAUCCGGUGAAGGGUGGGCUCGCGUCCGAUUAGAUAGUUGGUGAGGUAACGGCCCACCAAGUCGACGAUCGGUAGCCGACCUGAGAGGGUGAUCGGCCAUAUUGGGACUGAGACACGGCCCAAACUCCUACGGGAGGCAGCAGUGGGGAAUAUUGGGCAAUGGGGGAAACCCUGACCCAGCAACGCCGCGUGAGGGAAGAAGGUUUUCGGAUCGUAAACCUCUGUCCUUGGUGAAGAGAAAGAGACGGUAGCCAAGGAGGAAGCCCCGGCUAACUACGUGCCAGCAGCCGCGGUAAUACGUAGGGGGCGAGCGUUGUCCGGAAUGAUUGGGCGUAAAGGGCGCGUAGGCGGCCCGGUAAGUCUGGAGUGAAAGUCCUGUUUUUAAGAUGGGAAUUGCUUUGGAUACUGUCGGGCUUGAGUGCAGGAGAGGUAAGUGGAAUUCCCAGUGUAGCGGUGAAAUGCGUAGAGAUUGGGAGGAACACCAGUGGCGAAGGCGACUUACUGGACUGUAACUGACGCUGAGGCGCGAAAGUGUGGGGAGCAAACAGGAUUAGAUACCCUGGUAGUCCACACUGUAAACGAUGAAUGCUAGGUGUAGGGGGUAUCGACCCCUUCUGUGCCGCAGUUAACACAAUAAGCAUUCCGCCUGGGGAGUACGGCCGCAAGGUUGAAACUCAAAGGAAUUGACGGGGGCCCGCACAAGCAGCGGAGCAUGUGGUUUAAUUCGACGCAACGCGAAGAACCUUACCAGGUCUUGACAUCCAACUAAGGUUUUAGAGAUAAGACUGUGCCCUUCGGGGAAAGUUGAGACAGGUGGUGCAUGGUUGUCGUCAGCUCGUGUCGUGAGAUGUUGGGUUAAGUCCCGCAACGAGCGCAACCCCUGCCAUUAGUUGCUACGCAAGAGCACUCUAAUGGGACCGCUACCGACAAGGUGGAGGAAGGUGGGGACGACGUCAAAUCAUCAUGCCCCUUAUGACCUGGGCUACACACGUAAUACAAUGGCCGUUAACAACGGGAAGCGAAACCGCGAGGUGGAGCGAAACCUUAAAAACGGUCUCAGUUCGGAUCGCAGGCUGCAACCCGCCUGCGUGAAGUUGGAAUUGCUAGUAAUCGCGGAUCAGCAUGCCGCGGUGAAUACGUUCCCGGGCCUUGUACACACCGCCCGUCACACCAUGGGAGUUUGUAACACCCGAAGUCUGUAGUUUAACCGCAAGGAGGACGCAGCCGAAGGUGGGAUAAGCGACUGGGGUGAAGUCGUAACAAGGUA